rnacentral:lncRNA from 1 species
CCAGAGCCCGAACGGUGAUUUCCCAAAAUACCCUUACUUUUGUGUUAUGAGAUAUUUAUGAUGCACUUUAUGAGAUAUUAUUGCAUGCUAGAGACAGGCUAGGUAUUCCAUAUCUUAGGACUAGAGUGGCCUGAUUUGUGAUGCCUUAGCCUAGGAAUUGCUGUUAUAUGCGAUGUGCUUUUGAGUAUGUGAUGAGUGAGAAUAUUUAGUUGGAAUCCUUUAGGGGAUUUGAGUAGAGGAGUAAUCUAGGGGAGAUACCUAGAUGAGUACUGUGGUACUUAGAGAAAGAAUAGUUAGAACCCGCGAGGGGAAGAGUUGCAGAGUUCGGUGGUACUUUCGAGGAUGAGCAGAGCAAGCGGAGUUAUCACCCAGAGUGAGUCAUAUAUAUUCUUCGAUGCUCGAAUGCUGCUUGCUUCGUGCUUUGUGGAACUCUCGAUGAUGGGAGUCAGCUACCAAGCGAAUAUGACGAUAUUCAGGAGGUAGAUGGCUGGCAUCAUUAGGAGCUCUUCAGCAGCUGAUGGCAGAGAAGUGUGGGAAUCUAGGAAGAGCCUAGGGAGUAACCUUAGCCAGAUGAGUGCGCUGGCAGAGUAGAGAAUUUCGCUGGGGAGCGAGCGCGCGACGGAAUUGGUGAACGAGAAGGUCGAGCAGCUACUUAGGAGCUCCGGGAUAGUCCGUGUGGAAAGUAUGGGUAGAUGUGGCAGGUAGUAUGGGCCCGUACUACUGAAAGCAGAGGACCCAUACUUGAUACAGGGAGUAUUCUGAAGGUUCUAAUGAGCGGAUUGAGGAGUGAUGUUAUGGUUCGAGUACCAUACAUCGGAGCGGAUUGAGGAAUGAUGUUAUGGUUCGAGUACCAUACAUCGGAGCGGAUCGAGGAGUGAUGUUAUGGUCCGAGUACCAUACACCGGAGCAUAUUGAAAAGAUAUGUCAUGGGAUGAGUACCAUGGUUCGUAGUGAAUGAUGCUUGUGAUUCUCUGGUUAUCCGGUCACGAUUGAGUAGGUAGAGAUUGGAUGCUAUAGGUUUUAGGCCUGUAGGCCAUGAUUGAGUUUGAAGAGGCGUCCCUCGAGAGGGAGGUCGAGAGCCUAUCAGAGUAUUUUGGUAAGGAGUUAGAGGGAGGGGAGAAUUUCGGUCUGAGUUGAGCAAUCAGUCGAUAGAGGAGAUGUCACCUUCUAUGACCUGAGUGGUGCUAUUUAUGUUCGUGUGCGGAACAUGAGAAGCCUGAUGUUUAAGUUUCGGGUUUGGGGGUAAAACCCUGCAGGUUGUCAUUGAUGAUGAUUUUCCAUCAGAGUAUCAGGUAGCAUGUGNAAAUAGUUUGUGAGGUUGUUGAUGUGUCAGAUAGUGAUGGUUCGAACCCUAAGUGGGGGAGAACCGGGUGGUUUAUUGAGAGAACCAGAGAGUUGUGCAAGAGCAGUUAGGGGUAGGAUACAGAAACCUGCGGCUUGAAUUCACGAGAUCAGGUUCAUUGGUGAUCAAGGAAAGGUGCAGGGCGAGAUAAUGCAUGUGGUAUAUGUCUGAGAGAAGGAUGGGUGUCUCCACGACGGGUGGUUAAUGGUCAGGAAUCUGGUGGGGGUCAGAGUCGUUUCAAGUGGAAGACUCGUAAUGAUGGUACGGGCAAUUGAGAACUUUUGGGUUGAAAUAUGGGUAGCAGAUUAUCAAGUAGCCAAUUCCCGGGCUAGGAUGUGUAUUCUUGCUUGAAUUUUGAGCAGUAGUGGAAAGGGUUUCGGAGGAUCAUCAGUGUGUUCUGAAGGGUUAGCGCCUUCCUUGUAUUCCAAUUGAGUGUUUGGAUGCACUGAAGUUGCGCAUCGUGUGAUAUCAGAAAUUAUUAUGGGAUUCANNNNNNNNNNNNNNNNNNNNNNNNNNNNNNNNNNNNNNNNNNNNNNNNNNNNNNNNNNNNNNNNNNNNNNNNNNNNNNNNNNNNNNNNNNNNNNNNNNNNNNNNNNNNNNNNNNNNNGCUACGGGGAGCCGUAGUAUUUGCUAGUCAGAGGGUGUUGUGAUGCUACGGGGAGCCGUAGUACUCAUAAGUCAGAGAGAAAGAGUCGUGAUGCUACGGGGAGCCGUAGUAUUCGCCAGUUGGAGGGUGUUGUGAUGCUACGGGGGGCCGUAGUACUCACAAGUCAGAGAGAGAGAGUCGUGAUGCUACGGGGAGCCGUAGUAUUUGCCAGUCAAAGGGUGUUGUGAUGCUACGAGGAGCCGUAGUACUCACUAGUUAGUUGGCGUUGUGAUGUUACGGGGAGCCGUAGUACUCACAAGUUAGAGGGAAGGAGUCGUGGUGCUACGGGGAGCCGUAGUACUCACUUGUCAGAGGCUGUCGUAAUGUUGUGGGAAGCCAUAGUACCCACUAGACGGAAAAAUAGUGUGAUGAUGGAGUGUUCUCCGAUAAGUGCAUGAUGCAGAAGAGUUUGGGGCUUGAGUAGCCCUAGUGUUGAGUUUUUGGAGCCUAGUGGUUAAACCAGGGCGAGACUGGGGUCUCCGUCUCUGUCGGGAGGGUCAGCGAAGCGCACGGGAGAAUAUGCGCAGCAAACGCCAGAGGUUAGAGCUGACUCGAUCUCCGUUUGGAUUGUAUUUUUAUGAGGAAAAGGGAAUUUCGUGACUUGCAUUUCACUGGGCCGUGAUAGUGGUCACGGGGAAGAAGUUAGUGAGAUGUUUUGGAUCAUGUUAUGUGUUACCUCUGGGGGGUUAAGCUGAGGGGCCAAAAGCUGACCUGGUGCUCGGUAUCGAGGAUGAAUGCGAGAAAUGAGAUAGAGUUUACCAUGGUGAUGUCUGCGGACACUUCAGAGCGAGCGAACGAUUCGGAUGCUCGAGGAUAUGUUUCGGGCUUGUGUAUUAGAUUUCGGGGGGGAAUCAUGGCCCGUAUUUUCCCUUGGCAGAGUUUUCCUACAACAACAGCCAUCAUUAGUGCAUCAGUUUGUCACCCUUUGAGCUGUUGUAAGGAAGGGAGUAUCGGACCCCAUUUGUGGGGAAGAGGUAGAGCAACGUGUGAUGGGAAGUACAGAGAUCAUGCUUCGGACGUCAGAGUANCAGCAGGUCAAGCAGAGGUUGUUGACCGCUCAGAGUCGCCAGAAGAGUUAUGCGGACAGGUGCCGGUCCGAGCUCGAAUUGUUGGUCGGUGACUUUAUACUCCUGAAGGUCUCUCCUUGGAAAGGAGUGAUUCGAUUCAGGAAGAGGGGCAAGUUGGGGCCCCGAUAUAUUGGUCCUUUCCGAGUGAUCGCGAGGGUAGGCUGGAUAGCCUAUCGUUUGGAUUUGCCAGCAGAGUUGGGGCAGAUUCACGACACUUUUCAUGUGUCGCAUCUGAGGAAACGUUUAUCUGAUGAGUCGGCAGUGGUUCCAAUAGAGGAUAUUCAGGUGGAUGCGAGCCUGAAUUAUGCUGAGAGACCAGUGGAGAUCGGAAAUCAGAAAAUCAAGGUUUUGAGGAUCAAGGAGGUACCCUUGGUUUUGGUUUGGUGGCAGGAUUGUAAGGGAUCCGAGAUGACCUGGGAGCCAGAGCGUGAGAUGCGUGGGCAGCAUCCGAAGUUAUUUGCAGAGCGAGACUUCGAGGGCGAAGUCUAGUUCUAGUGGGGGAGAAUUGUAACAGCCCGGAACCCCAGGUGUUAUUUAUUCAUAUAUUUUUGGUGUUUUGUGAGGGGACUCGGCGAGUUGGAGCUCAAACUCGCCGAGUAGGAUCGCGGUUUUGGACGCGGGUUCGCGCCGGGACUCGGCGAGUCCACGAUGUUUAAUGAAACCCUAAUUUACCGGUCCUGAGCCCUAUUUAUGGGACCUUAUGGCCUUCAUUGCGGCUACCUUCGACCUUGGGAGCACCAGAGCAGCUGAGAGUUCUUGUGAGUGAGAUAAGAGGCCAUUAUUCACCAUUUUUGUGUGUAUUUGCAAGAAGGGAAGAGGAAAGCCAAGCUAAGGGAGUUGGGGAGCUUAGAUCUACUCCCAUUUCGACAGAGGAAGCUAAUUGAGGUAACAUUCAGAGCUUAUUCUCGUGUUUUUCUUGAUAUGGCCAAAUCUAGGGUUUCUUCAUGCCUUGUUUGCCUUGUAUUUGGAGUAUGAGAGGUUCCAUGGGGAAAUGGUACCUAGAUCUGGACCUUAGUAGGUCCAGAGAGUCCCAAAUGCCAUGCUUUAUGCCUUUCCUUUUGAGUUGGAGACUUAGGUUUCCAUUUUAGAUGUCAUUUCAUCAAAAGAGGCCUUGUAGGCGUUGCUUGGUAGCCAAGAUUGAGACUUUACGUGAUGAAUGUGCUUGGGAGGGCUAGAUCUAUGAGUUGUUGGAGCGGAUCUGACCUCAGAAGCGAGAUUGAGUCGAUGCAUGGCAUGGACUCGCCGAGUCCGAAGAACAGACUCGGCGAGUAGCAUGAAGAUUGUCCUAACCACUCAGCGAGUGGUCUUGCCGAGUUAAGGGAUGACUCAGUGAGUCAGGGAGAGUUAGAGAGGGUUGACAGGUGGACUGAGUCAAGCUGGAACUCGCCGAGUUGUUCUUGAGACUCGGCGAGUUGAGUCGUGGUGGCCCCGCGAUUAUGCCAGGUGAAACUCGUCGAGUCAGAGAAAUACUCGACGUGUCAAGAGAGGAUCCAAGGGAGUCAGUGGACACGUGUAGACUCGCCGAGUCGCCCUAGUGCACUCGCCGAGUCCGGUCAAAGUUGACCGUUGACUUUUGUUGACUUUUAGGGUUUGGUCAGCGAUGUGGCCUUUGGGCCAAGAGAGGGGUAAAAUGGUCUUUUACCCUUAAGAGGGUGUCAAGAGAGGGUUGAUCCUAGACUCGAGAGUUAUAUUCACGAGAGUAUUUGCCUUAUGUGUUAGGCGGUGGCAAGUUCGAGAUUCAAGUGUGGGGAUAUCUGCUUUCUGCUUGCCAGGUGAGUCUUCUCACUAUACUUUACCUUGAGUAGGUAAUCAGAGUUAUGUGAUAGAGUAUUUGUAUGCUAUAUGCCUGUUAUGUGUUGUACUGCAUUAUUUCUAUGUGAUUUAUGUUGUGCAUGUUUACAGAGUUGGAACCGGAAGGUUCCCAGAGUUAGAACCGGAGGGUUCACAGAGUUAGAACCAGAGGGUUCAUAGAGUAGGGUCCACGGACCCACAGAGUUAUAGCCUCGAGUGGCUAAUAUAUGUAUGUGUGGUAUUUUGGGGAACUCACUAAGCUUCGUGCUUACAGUGUUUUGUGUUAUGUGUUUCAGGUUUCUCUCAGGAUCACGGGACGGCACCGGCUCGAUUGUACACACCAGAGAAAGAGUCAUGUUUUGAGGAUCCUGGUUUAUUAUGCAAGUGAAAAUGGAGUUAUGUUUUGUAAUUCGAUUAUGAAUGAGAUUUUAAGCAAAGUGUUUUUAAGAAUUAAACGAUUAUUUUUAAAUGAAAAAUUGUUUUGAAAUUUUCGGUGUUACAAGUUGGUAUCAGAGCCUUGGUUUGAGGGAUUCGGAUGCGCCUUCGGGUAAAUCUGGACUCAAACUGAGGAAGUAAGAAAAGUUUUCAAAGAAAUAAUUUUCUAAAGCGAAUAAGAGUUCAAAGAGAAAACGAGAAAGAGCAGUGUGUACAAUCAGCCAGAGCCCGAACGGUGAUUUCCCAAAAUACCCUUACUUUUGUGUUAUGAGAUAUUUAUGAUGCACUUUAUGAGAUAUUAUUGCAUGCUAGAGACAGGCUAGGUAUUCCAUAUCUUAGGACUAGAGUGGCCUGAUUUGUGAUGCCUUAGCCUAGGAAUUGCUGUUAUAUGUGAUGUGCUUUUGAGUAUGUGAUGAGUGAGAAUAUUUAGUUGGAAUCCUUUAGGGGAUUUGAGUAGAGGAGUAAUCUAGGGGAGAUACCUAGAUGAGUACUAUGGUACUUAGAGAAAGAAUAGUUAGAACCCGCGAGGGGAAGAAUUGCAGAGUUCGGUGGUACGUUCGAGGGUGAGCAGAGCAAGCGGAGUUAUCACCCAAAGUGAGUCAUAUAUAUUCUUCGAUGCUCGAAUGUUGCUUGCUUUGUGCUUUGUGGAACUCUCGAUGAUGGGAGUCAGCUACCAAGCGAAUAUGACGAUAUUCAGGAGGUAGAUGGUUGGCAUCAUUAGGAGCUCUUCAGCAGCUGAUGGCAGAGAAGUGUGGGAAUCUAGGAAGAGCCUAGGGAGUAACCUUAAGAGGGUGUCAAGAGAGGGUUGAUCAUAGACUCGAGAGUUAUAUUCAUGAGAGUAUUUGCCUUAUGUGUUAGGCGAUGGCAAGUUCGAGAUUCAAGUGUGGGGAUAUCUGCUUUCUGCUUUCCAGGUGAGUCUUCUCACUAUACUUUACGUUGAGUAGGUAAUCAGAGUUAUGUGAUAGAGUAUUUGUAUGCUAUAUGCCUGUUAUGUGUUGUACUGCAUUAUUUCUAUGUGAUUUAUGUUGUGCAUGUUUACAGAGUUGGAACCGGAAGGUUCCCAGAGUUAGAACCGGAGGGUUCACAGAGUUAGAACCAGAGGGUUCA